AUGAACCUGAACGCACAUGAGGUGUUGGAGCAGAGGGAGGUGGCCACAGUGCAGCUAGCUAAUGGGUGGGCACCAAUCCCGGAGUUGGCGGACAUAAUUACUGCGAGUGACUACCGCCCAUUGGAGAUGCCGGUCCCAGGGGAUUUGGACAUGCAGGAGCUGUUGGCUGGUGAUAUGACCACGUCCGAGGCGAUGGUAGGUGGAGGAACAGAGGCGCAUGCAGGUGCGCUGGUGGUGCAUGGCGCACCCACCAAUCAGGAGGCUUCAGAGCGUUUAUAUGCGAAGGAGGUCGUGGCACUUGGGAAUAUUAAAUCUUUCUGCGCCGGUCUACUAAAGAAGCUCGCACCCCCUCUGCUGAAGGAAAUUGAGGGAGCCCGUGCGUGCGUGCAGGACAGGAUCCGUUCAUGCCACGAUGCACCAUGCACUCGGUAG
rnacentral:rRNA from 1 species